rnacentral:rRNA from 1 species
UUAAGUUAGAAAGGGCGCACGGUGGAUGCCUUGGCACUAGGAGCCGAAGAAGGACGGGACUAACACCGAUAUGCUUUGGGGAGCUGUACGUAAGCGUUGAUCCAGAGAUUUCCGAAUGGGGGAACCCACUAUCUUUAGUCGGAUAGUAUCCUUACGUGAAUACAUAGCGUAAGGAAGGCAGACCCAGGGAACUGAAACAUCUAAGUACCUGGAGGAAGAGAAAGAAAAAUCGAUUUCCUGAGUAGCGGCGAGCGAAACGGAAAGAGCCCAAACCAAGAAGCUUGCUUCUUGGGGUUGUAGGACACUCUAUACGGAGUUACAAAAGAAAGUUAUAAAUGAAGCGGUCUGGAAAGGCCCGCCAAAGACGGUAACAGCCCGGUAAUUGAAAUGGCUUUCCCUCCAGAGUGGAUCCUGAGUACGGCGGAACACGUGAAAUUCCGUCGGAAUCCGGGAGGACCAUCUCCCAAGGCUAAAUACUCCCUAGUGACCGAUAGUGAACCAGUACCGUGAGGGAAAGGUGAAAAGCACCCCGGAAGGGGAGUGAAACAGUUCCUGAAACCGUGUGCCUACAAGUAGUUAGAGCCCGUUAAUGGGUGAUAGCGUGCCUUUUGUAGAAUGAACCGGCGAGUUACGAUUUGUUGCAAGGUUAAGCGGAAAAAGCGGAGCCGUAGCGAAAGCGAGUCUGAAUAGGGCGCAUAAGUAACAGGUCGUAGACCCGAAACCAGGUGAUCUACCCAUGUCCAGGAUGAAGGUAAGGUAAUACUUACUGGAGGUCCGAACCCACGCACGUUGAAAAGUGCGGGGAUGAGGUGUGGGUAGCGGAGAAAUUCCAAUCGAACUUGGAGAUAGCUGGUUCUCUCCGAAAUAGCUUUAGGGCUAGCCUCGAGGUAAAGAGUCAUGGAGGUAGAGCACUGUUUGGACUAGGGGCCCUUCUCGGGUUACCGAAUUCAGAUAAACUCCGAAUGCCAUGUACUUAUACUCGGGAGUCAGACUGCGAGUGAUAAGAUCCGUAGUCGAAAGGGAAACAGCCCAGACCACCAGUUAAGGUCCCCAAAUAUAUGUUAAGUGGAAAAGGAUGUGGGGUUGCUUAGACAACCAGGAUGUUGGCUUAGAAGCAGCCACCAUUGAAAGAGUGCGUAAUAGCUCACUGGUCGAGUGACCCCGCGCCGAAAAUGUACCGGGGCUAAACAUAUUACCGAAACUGUGGAUGAACCUCAUUAGAGGUUCGUGGUAGGAGAGCGUUCUAAGGGCGGUGAAGUCAGACCGGAAGGACUGGUGGAGCGCUUAGAAGUGAGAAUGCCGGUAUGAGUAGCGAAAGAAGGGUGAGAAUCCCUUCCACCGAAUAUCUAAGGUUUCCUGAGGAAGGCUCGUCCGCUCAGGGUUAGUCGGGACCUAAGCCGAGGCCGAUAGGCGUAGGCGAUGGACAACAGGUAGAGAUUCCUGUACCAGUGCUAAUUGUUUAACCGAUGGGGUGACACAGAAGGAUAGGGAAUCGCACGAAUGGAAAUGUGCGUCCAAGCAGUGAGUGUGAGAAGUAGGCAAAUCCGCUUCUCGCGAAGCAUGAGCUGUGAUGGGGAAGGAAAUUAAGUACGGAAGUUCCUGAUUUCACGCUGUCAAGAAAAGCCUCUAGGAAGAGUAGUACUGCCCGUACCGCAAACCGACACAGGUAGAUGAGGAGAGAAUCCUAAGGUGAGCGAGAGAACUCUCGUUAAGGAACUCGGCAAAAUGACCCCGUAACUUCGGGAGAAGGGGUGCUCUAUUAGGGUGCAAGCCCGAGAGAGCCGCAGUGAAUAGGCCCAGGCGACUGUUUAGCAAAAACACAGGUCUCUGCAAAACCGUAAGGUGACGUAUAGGGGCUGACGCCUGCCCGGUGCUGGAAGGUUAAGAGGAGUGCUUAGCUUCGGCGAAGGUACGAAUUGAAGCCCCAGUAAACGGCGGCCGUAACUAUAACGGUCCUAAGGUAGCGAAAUUCCUUGUCGGGUAAGUUCCGACCCGCACGAAAGGCGCAACGAUCUGGGCACUGUCUCAACGAGAGACUCGGUGAAAUUAUAGUACCUGUGAAGAUGCAGGUUACCCGCGACAGGACGGAAAGACCCCGUGGAGCUUUACUGCAACCUGAUAUGGAAUGUUUGUACCGCUUGUACAGGAUAGGUAGGAGCCGAAGAGACGUGUGCGCUAGCAUACGAGGAGGCAAUGGUGGGAUACU